rnacentral:rRNA from 1 species
AACGUAGGAGACAAACGUUAUCCGGAGUUACUGGGCGUAAAGAGCGUGUAGGCGGUUUGUUAAGUCUGGCGUGAAAGCUCUCGGCUAAACCGGGAGAGGUCGUUGGAUACUGGCAAACUAGAGGACGGUAGAGGCGUGUGGAAUUCCGGGUGUAGUGGUGAAAUGCGUAGAGAUCCGGAGGAACACCAGUGGCGAAGGCGACACGCCGGGCCGUACCUGACGCUAAAGCGCGACAGCAUGGGGAGCAAACGGG